CACAAUAGUUCAACGUCUACCACC
rnacentral:siRNA from 1 species